rnacentral:lncRNA from 1 species
GGGGGGGGGGGGGGGGGUUCCCUGCAGUGGGAGGAGAGACCCCGGGGUCCCCCUUCCCGCUGUCCCUUGCUCAGUUCCAUGCAGAGUGCUCCGUGCCUCAGUUUCCCCAGAGGACAGGGCAGGUUUGGGGGCCUGGGGCUGGCCUCACCGCUCACCCCUUCUCUCCUCGGCCAGCGCUGAACGAGCCCACCAUCGACUACGGGUUCCAGCGCCUGCAGAAGGUCAUUCCCCGGCACCCCGGAGACCCCGAGCGCUUGCCCAAGGAGGUGCUGCUGAAGCGGGCGGCCGACCUGGUGGAGGCUCUCUACGGGAUGCCGCACAGCAACCAGGAUUCCCCGGGCGC